UGUCAAGGGUGAUGGCAAUCGAACCCACGACCUUCCGCUUACCGGGCAGAUGCCAUGACCACUAGGCUACCCUGGAC